rnacentral:rRNA from 1 species
GACGAACGCUGGCGGCGCGCUUAACACAUGCAAGUCGAACGGAAAGGCCUGCUUUCCCUUGUGGAUUGCGGGUACUCGAGUGGCGAACGGGUGAGUAACACGUGAGUGAUCUGCCCCCAACUUGGGUAUAAGCCUGGGAAACUGGGUCUAAUUCCCGAUAGGACUGCAGGGUGGUGCCUGUGGUGGAAAACGAUUUUCUAGUGGUUGGGGAUGAGCUCGCGGCCUAUCAGCUUGUUGGUGGGGUAAUGGCCUACCAAGGCGGCGACGGGUAGCCGGCCUGAGAGGGUGGACGGCCACAUUGGGACUGAGAUACGGCCCAGACUCCUACGGGAGGCAGCAGUGGGGAAUAUUGCACAAUGGGCGGAAGCCUGAUGCAGCGACGCCGCGUGGGGGGUGACGGCCUUCGGGUUGUAAACUCCUUUCGACCGCGAGGAAGCCACCUGGUUGGAAGGGUGGUGACGGUAGUGGUAGAAGAAGCACCGGCUAACUACGUG